UCCAUGGUGGUGUAGUGGUUAACAUCGCUGUCUUUCAUUAGUGAUUACACAGCAGCCCGGGGUUCGAUUCCCCGUCGUGGAA